GCCUGGGUGGCUCAGUCGGUUGAGCGUCCGACUUCGGCUCGGGUCAUGAACUCACGGUCCGUGAGUUCGAGCCCCACGUCAGGCU
rnacentral:tRNA from 1 species